CUUGCCCUUCUCCCUCCCUCCUUCCCUCUCUCCCUCUCUAUCUCUCUCUCUCUAAAUCUUGAUUUUUCAGGGGAUGAAAAGAUGAGGAAAAGCUUUCUUUUUGAGGGGAAUGUUGUCUGGCUCGAGGCCACCAACAAGAUCAUUAAUCUUUAUGAUUGAUCUUAUGUAAGUGUCGUCGGACCAGGCUUCAUUCCCCCCAAUUCUUGCUUUCUCUCACCCAUGAUCUUGUCUCUAGAUGAUUCCUAGUAAACAUAAAUCUUCCAAAAAUGGUCUGCUAAUUGAAAUUUGGUUAAUAGUUCUGUCUAAUUUGUUGAUCUAAUUGUUUAUGGAUGAGUUUUGGGCUAUUUUGUAUGUGGGUUUUUCGAAUUGUCAGGUGAAUCGUCGACUGUUAGCCAUGCAGGAGCAGAUUGGUGUAAUGAUUAAAGAUUUUGACCUGCUUUUUCUGCCAAAAAAUAUAUACACAAAAGAAGACGGUAAUAGAUUCAUAUUAUCAUCAUUACUAAUGUUUUUAUAUGCAGAUUCUUCUAUUCUGUGGGUUUGUGCUGUUUACUGUUUGUCAGUCAUUUUUCUCAUGAUGAUUUCAAGAAUCUAUUCUGUCUUUUAUGCUUUCACCUGAUCUGCCUUUUACUUGAGCAUAUGAGCCAUAGUUAUGAAUAUAUAAGGUCGAAAUUGAUGUGCAAUUUUGAAUUUACAAAUAAUUCAUAAAUUUAUUUGCCAAAUAAUGGUUUAGAUUUGGGAAUUGUAAAUUUUUUCAUUGCCAUCAGUUUGUUCAUAUCUUUAUGGGCUUUUCUUCAUUAGGGUUUCAUCUUCCUCACGGGUUUACUAUUUUCAUCCGUGAGAAUUUAACUCUUUGACAAUGAAUCAACAAAUUUCUUAUUUAUCUCCAUGUCAGGAUAAAGAUAUAUACAUGAAUUGCCUUUGUUGGCGGGGGGGGGGGGGGGGGUAUGAACUUCUGUUGAACAGCCUAAUUAGCUUCAGAAACAUCAGUUACAGAGUAUUUUUUUAUUUAUUUUUUUUAUAUAAAUAUUUGCACCAGAUCUGUAGUCUCAACAUAUUUGAAUUAUGCAUAUUUAGUACACAAUAUUGGACAAGAUUCGAGGGCACUAAGGUGUACAUUGUUAAUCAAGAACGUUCAUGUAUGUUUCCUUCUCUUGAUGAUUAAUUAGCUCAGUGAAUAAUCCUCUAGAUUUUCAGUAUCAACUAGCCAAAACUGGAUGAGGUAAAUCCUUGUAUUGUUUGUAUAGUUUCUCGUGCAUUAAAAAGAACCCUUAUUUGUCUUGUUGAACGCUGAGAAUUUUCUUUAGUUACCCGAGAAAUGAAAGAUACCAUUUGAACUUCUGUAAAGCUAGCGUAUGAUUUCUAUGUUGCUUGAAGAAAGGUGAAGGAAUAACCCAUUUGCCGAGGAAAAUAUUGCUUUUGAAUUAUGAUAUAGACCUAACUUCGUCAGGAGAUUUCUUGUUCAGACCAAAUUAAUCCUCAAACAGCAUUGUUUUACAUUGCCUUCUUAACAUCAAUUCUUUCAAUUUGCUUGUUAAUGUUGUUAAGGGAUAAAAUUCUACAUCGAAUAAAGAUGAAAAUAUAGACCAAUUUAUAAAUUCUUGGGCUACUCCUCUUCACAAGAUUAAUCUUUUAAGAUGGAACCCCAAGCCUCUUAACAAAUGCUUCAUCACAUAGUGUGAAUGGUUGCCCGGGAAUGAACAAACGCUAUGGCUGACCAGCAAUUAUUACCAGUUCGAGCAUCAAGCAAGAAAAUUUGCAGCUCGAACAACAAUCGAGUCAAUAUUUUUCAAGAAAUUUGACUGAAGCUCAUGAAGUCAUUCAAGCUGGUUAGAAAGUUGUAUUCUGUCAGAUCCAAUAGAUCUUCAAGAUACUAAUGGAAUAUGGAAUGAAGUGUUAAAGUUGUUAGAGAAUGUUAUCACUUUUAAUUCUUUAAUUUGUAUUUCAGCUAUAGGUUUCUCAUUAACUUUUCCAAGCCAAGAGAAAAUGCAUUCACUUCAACUUUAUGUUCUUCUUCCCUCAAAAUUCCAAGAUUUUUCCUCACCUUUACCUUUUGCUUAGAAUCAAUGUCCAAAAGUUGAUUAUAUUUAUAUAAUAAGUUCAUGCAAUUAAUGAACACAUUUGUAACACUCACCCUUCAGCUGGAUUGUAAAGAGAGCAAUCAAAAGGUUAUAUAACCCACAUACCAAUACUUAUGGGACACAAUAAGUUCAUUAUCAGAUGAUCUAAAUUAUUGAGGAUACAUGCUCAAUCAAUUGAUACACAUUUAUUCCUUGCCUCCAAAGUUUAACCUUUCAAUUUCUGAGGAGGUACCUAUAAUAUUUUCAGUAGAGUAGUGCUAUUUAGCAUCACUGAUGUUAUAAUGUCAGUUUAAGUGACUAAGUGUCAUCAAAUGAAAUCUUCAAUUAUAUGAGUCACAUAAUUUAACCUAUUAUAUAAUGCCACGUUGACUAAUACUCUAAUAUCCUUGAUACUAGAUAGCAUUAUUUUUCUAAAUAAAGGCGCUCGACCAUCGAUCUAAACUAAGUGGGAGGCAAUUAGGACAAUUGAAAAAUAUUGCUUGCACCCAAAGGAAAAGGUAAACUUGAGAUUAGAGAUGAAAAAAAUUUAUUGCACAUAAGGAUGAUGCAAAAGAAAUGAAAAGACCAUGGAGUAAAGGUGAAUAGAAGCCAUCUGUAGCCCUCCGAGGCAUAAUUCAGUAGUGCAAAGAAAAGGAGUGAGGUUGUCUCAAUCUUACUGACAGUCGUAGUGUGAGGGUUCGAUUCCUAAGAUAUGGAAUUUGACUCUUUGUGGACACCAAUGUACAGGCAAGCUCUUGUUCUCUGACUUGUUGGGGUACAUCCCACAAUUUACCUACCCUACGAUGCUCCAGGGGCGGGACAGUGGGGCCUUAAGGUUGUAGUUCAACUCCUUUUUUUUUUUUUUUUAAUAGAAGCCAUCUGUAGACAAGAAGGCUGACAGACCUGGCUCUGAUAAUUUGUGUCAUCAAAUACUGAAGCUUGAAAGAGCUUAUGCAUCAUGGGGAAAAUUAAAUGGCCUUGAAUUGAAUGAUCUGACCCCUUUCUUCUGACACAGUAGAGUCGCCAUCACCAAUCUAUUCCAUGGCCUUCUUUUAAACUGUGUGCAUUGUUAAUUGGACAAUGAUUUUUCUCUUUUUAUCUGCAGUGAAAUGUCAGCUUACUUUCUGCAAGUCUUCUUCUCCUCCUCCUUUACUCCCACAUUUUCUGCAUACUGAUGGCCUUCUAGUCAGAGUUUUGCCCGUGUUUCUGUUCAUUCCUUAAGUGAUUUUGAUUGUGUCCAAAGCGUAUUACGGUGGUAUUAGAUGAGAUCUACAAUAUUUCCUUCUUGUCCACAUCCUAAUGUGUGGAUGCCAAAGUCCAAUAGAUUAAUUAACAUUCUUCCUUGAUGAGAGAGGGAAAAAGAAAUAUAUUACUACACAUUGUGUUGGUGAGUAAAUUAUAAUCACUUAUGGUUAAAUAUGUUUUUUACCCAUAAAUUUAGGCCUCGUUUAGUACAUAUUAAUGUAAAAAUGAGAAUGAAAAUAUAGCCGCACGUGCCCCACACGAGAUAGAAAUUCAAAUUUCGUGACUUGAUGUGAUGGAUAACAAUCAUAUUUUUUAUUUUAAUGAAGAAAAAAUGGGAAACAAAUAGGUAUAAUCCACAAUUGCUAUUCUCUUUGACAGAAGUUUAAUACAUUUAAAGUUAAAACAAAUUAAUAGUCAAAUUUAAAGAUUGAUGAAAGUUCAAACGAUCAUUGCAUGCAUGUUAUUAAAAAU
rnacentral:lncRNA from 1 species